rnacentral:rRNA from 1 species
AAAACAUUUUUUGCUCUUAGUCCGGGAGACCAAAAAGAGCUAUUAACGAAGCUACAGAAAAAGUACCGCAAGGGAAAGCUGAAAGAGAUAUGAAAAAGCCCAGUAAAGCCCGAAAAAGCAGAGACACCCCCUCGUACCUUUUGCAUCAUGAUUUAGCUAGUAUUCCCAAGCAAAGAGUCCUUUAGUUUGGAGCCCCGAAACCGAGGGAGCUACUUCAAGACAGCCUAAAAAUAGGGCUAACCCUUCCCUGUGGCAAAAGGGUGGGAUGAGCUUUAAGUAGAGGUGAUAAACCUAACGAACUCAGUUAUAGCUGGUUGCCUGAAAAUUGGAUAUAAGUUCAGCCUCCCGGCUCCUCCCCUCCUUAGUAUCUAUAAUAUACAGGCCCAAAGGAACCAAGAGAGUUAUUCGAAAGAGGUACAGCUCUUUUGAAAAAAGAUACAACUUUAUCAGGAGGUUAAAGAUCAUAUUUUGUAAAGUUAUACUUCUGAGUAGGCUUAGAAGCAGCCAUCUCCUUAGAUAGCGUUAAAGCUCAAACAAAUAAUUUACUUGUAAUCUCUAUAAACAGAUCUAACACCCCUAGUAUUAUCAGGCCUCCCUAUAUUUUCUUAUAGGAGAGACCAUGCUAAUAUGAGUAAUAAGAGAACCAGACGUUUCUCUCCUGACACAAGUGUAAGUCGGAACGGACCACCCGCCGAAAAUUAAACGGACCCAACCCAAGAGGGAAGUGGAUUUUACUCAAAAAUGCAAGAAAGCCCCCCAUGAGACACCCGUUAACCUCACACUAGAGUGCCCCCGGAAAGACUAAAAGGAGAGGAAGGAACUCGGCAAAUUCUACCCGCAAGCUUCGCCUGUUUACCAAAAACAUCGCCUCUUGUCCCCAAAAAAUAAGAGGUCCUGCCUGCCCAGUGACCAAAAGUUUUAACGGCCGGGGUAUUCUGACCGUGCAAAGGUAGCGUAAUCACUUGUCCUUUAAAUGAAGACCUGUAUGAAUGGCGGUCACGAAAGGCUUCCUCUGUCCUUCCCCCAGUCAAUGAAAUUGAUCUCCCCGGUGCAGAAGCGGGGAUAAGCACAUAAGACGAGAAGACCCUGUGGAGCUUCAGACACUAAGACCAGCCCAUAUAAAUACCUAACUAUAAAUUAGUGUAUAAACUGUAUAGCCCCUGGACGGAUGUCUUCGGUUGGGGCGACCAUGGGGUAAUAAAAAACCCCCAAGAGGACAGAAGCACUACCCAUGUAACACAGCUUCCGUAAAAAAGGUUGACAAACCUAAUUCACAGAACCUCUGACCCAAUCAGAUCCGAUGCAAAUCGAUCAACGAACCAAGUUACCCCAGGGAUAACAGCGCAAU